rnacentral:rRNA from 1 species
CUGCAGCCCCUUCCAGUUCAGUUCGCCGGCACGCACACGCAACGUGACCAGACCCAACUGAACAAGAAUGGACGCCACCCGCGCCCUCCUCCUGCCCCGGAUCGACGGCGCCGUCCCCGGCGUCGUGGACUUCCGCGGCGGCCCCGCCCCGCGCGCCUCCACCGGCCGAUGGUCCGCCGCCAUGUUCGUCCUCGGUGUGGAGAUCGCGGAGCGGUUCGCGUACCACGGGGUGUCGGCCAACCUCAUCAGCUACCUGACGGGGCCGCUGGGGGAGUCCACGGCCGGCGCCGCCGCGGCGAUCAACGCGUGGAGCGGCGUGGCCACGAUGCUGCCGCUGCUGGUGGCCUGCGUCGCCGACGCCUGGCUCGGGAGGUUCCGCACCAUCGUGCUCGCCUCCGUCCUCUUCGUCGUGAGCAUGGGCAUGCUGACCCUGUCCUCGGCGCUGCCGGUGUUCCACUCGGACGGGUGCACCAGCUUCACCUCGCUCUCGGGCGCGUGCUCGCCGUCGCCGGUGCAGGUGACCAUCUUCUACGUCUCGCUCUACCUGGUGGCGCUGGCGGAGGCCGGGCACAAGCCCUGCGCGCAGGCGUUCGGCGCCGACCAGUUCGACCAGCACCACCCCGAGGAGUCCGUCUCCCGGAGCUCCUUCUUCAACUGGUGGUACUUCGGCAUGUGCUCCGGCACCGCCGCCACUACCAUGGUCUCCAGCUAUAUCCAGGACAACAUCGGCUGGGGCCUCGGCUUCGGCAUCCCCUGCCUCGUCAUGGUCUUCGCGCUCGCCAUGUUCCUGCUCGGCACCCGCCGCUACCGCUACUACACCUCCACCCAGUCCAGCCCCUUCGCGCGCCUCGCCAGGGCCUUCGUCGCGCUCCUCAAAGGCUCCAAAUCCAGCCAAUGCGCCAAUACUCUUGCGGGCGAGGAUGGUGAGUUCAACGCGGAGCACCGGGAGGAAGUUCGGGGCCUGCUGCGGCUGUUCCCCAUCUGGGCGACGUGCAUCAUCUACGCCGUCAUCUUCUCCCAGUCGUCGACCUUCUUCACGAAGCAGGCCGCGACGCUGGACCGGCGGAUCGGCGCCACCUUCCGCGUGCCGCCGGCGGCGCUGCAGACGUUCAUCAGCCUGACCAUCAUCACCUUCAUCCCAGUCUACGACCGGCUGUUCGUGCCAGCGGCGCGGCGGUUCACGCGCCUGUCCUCGGGCAUCACCAUGCUGCAGAGGAUCGGCACGGGGCUGGUCCUGGCGCUGGUGGCCAUGGUGGUGGCGGCGCUGGUGGAGGCGAGGCGGCUGGGCGUGGCGAGGGACGCCGGCCUCGUGGACGACCCCAAGGUGGCGCUGCCGAUGAGCCUGUGGUGGAUGGUGCCGCAGUACGUGCUGUUCGGGCUGUCGGACGUGUUCGCCAUGAUCGGGCUGCAGGAGUUCUUCUACGACCAGGUCCCCGACGCGCUGCGCAGCCUGGGGCUGGCCUUCUUCCUCAGCAUCUUCGGGGUGGGCCACUUCCUGAGCAGCUUCCUCAUCUCCGCCAUCGACGGCGCCACCAAGAAGAGCGGCGCCAGCUGGUUCUCCAACAACCUCAACCGCGCGCACCUCGACUACUUCUACUGGCUGCUCGCCGGGCUCUGCGCGGCGGAGCUGGCCGCGUUCGUGGUUGUCUCGCGCGUCUAUGUGUACAAGAAGAGGGUGGCUCACCAUGACCAUGACGACGGUGGUGCUGUCAUGUAAUCAAUCACUUGUAAGCACAGGACCUGUGGUUGGAGGCUCUGACGGAAAGCUUGUAUAGGCGCAGGCAGUUUGGUAUGCUCAAGCCAUGGAGAUGUAUGCCAUUCGUGACGGAAUUCAACUUGCCAGAGAUCUGGUAUGCACAAGGAUUUGCACUGAAAGUGAUGCUAACUAUGCGGUUAAGAUGUGCAACUCUGAAUCUUCAGAUAGAACGGCUGUCGCAGCCGUUUGCCACGGGGUUAGUACUAGUUUUUCUGGGUGGGUGGGUUUACUAGUACUCCCUCCGUUCCUAAAUACUUGUCUUUCUAGGCAUUUCAACAAGUGACUACAUACGAAGCAAAAUGAGUGAAUCUACACUCUAAAAUAUGUCUACAUACAUCCGUAUAUAGUAGUCAUUUAAAAUGUCUAGAAAGACAAAUAUUUAGGAACGGAGGGAGUAGUUUUUAACUUCUGGGUGGGUGGGUUUACUAGUUUUUUUUUUUUGAGGGAAGGGUGGGUUUACUAUUUGUGAGCUUGUUUUGUGCGUAGGGAAGCUAAUGAAGCGACCCAUAGUUGUGCUAAGCUGGCCAUAGAUGAGAGGAGGAUAAAUUAUAUGUCUACUUUCCUAGCUGGUUGUAUUCAGAUUCAUUGUAGAACACCUAUUUGAG